rnacentral:rRNA from 1 species
ACAGGGUGACAGGUGGGUGCAUGGUUGUCGUCAGCUCGUGUCGUGAGAUGUUGGGUUAAGUCCCGCAACGAGCGCAACCCUCGACCUUAGUUGCCAGCAUUCAGUUGGGGCACUCUAAGGUGACUGCCGGCUAAAAGUCGGAGGAAGGUGGGGGAUGACGUCAAAUCAUCAUGCCCCUUAUGACCUGGGCUACACACGUGCUACAAUGGGCGGUACAAAGGGUCGCGAACCCGCGAGGGGGAGCCAAUCCCAAAAAACCGCUCUCAGUUCGGAUUGCAGGCUGCAACUCGCCUGCAUGAAGCCGGAAUCGCUAGUAAUCGCGGAUCAGCAUGCCGCGGUGAAUACGUUCCCGGGCCUU